AGGACAGUAGUGCAGAGCAGUUCUCUCAAGUUCAUCUUUAACACCAUCAACCAUGUUCUCUGUUUCUUUGCUGCUGCUGGUGGCAGCUGCAUCCUGUGUGAACAGUGAACAACUCACCCAACCAGCCUCUAUGACUGUCCAGCCAGGUCAAGCACUGACUAUCACCUGUCAGGUCUCCUACUCUGUGAGUAGCUAUAAUACAGCAUGGAUACGACAGCCUGCAGGGAAAAGACUGGAGUGGAUCGGGAGAAUUUAUACAGGAGACUCAGCCUACAAAGACUCACUUAAAACCAAGUUCAGUUUGACAGUUGACUCCUCCAGCAGCAUGGUGACUCUGAAAGGACAGAGUCUGCAGACUGAUGACACAGCUGUGUAUUAUUGUGCUAGAGACUCACAAUGA